ACCGGAAGGUGCACUUGGAAAAAUCAGGGCUUAGCUAAGCAUAGAUAUAGCAUCUCC
rnacentral:tRNA from 1 species